rnacentral:rRNA from 1 species
UGGGUUUAAGGGUGCGUAGGCGGAAUAAUAAGUCAGUUGUGAAAGUUUGCGGCUCAACCGUAAAAUUGCAGUUGAUACUGUUAUUCUUGAGUGUACAUAAGGUAGGCGGAAUUCGUGGUGUAGCGGUGAAAUGCUUAGAUAUCACGAAGAACUCCAAUUGCGAAGGCAGCUUACCGGGGUACAACUGACGCUGAGGCACGAAAGUGUGGGUAUCAAACAGGAUUAGAUACCCUGGUAGUCCACACAGUAAACGAUGAAUACUCGCUGUUUGCAAUAUACCGCAAGCGGCCAAGCGAAAGCAUUAAGUAUUCCACCUGGGGAGUACGCCGGCAACGGUGAAACUCAAAGGAAUUGACGGGGGCCCGCACAAGCGGAGGAACAUGUGGUUUAAUUCGAUGAUACGCGAGGAACCUUACCCAGGCUUAAAUUGCAGAUGAAUAUAGUGGAAACAUUAUAGCCUUCGGGCAUCUGUGAAGGUGCUGCAUGGUUGUCGUCAGCUCGUGCCGUGAGGUGUCGGCUUAAGUGCCAUAACGAGCGCAACCCUUAUUGAUAGUUACUAACAGGUUAAGCUGAGGACUCUAUCGAGACUGCCGUCGUAAGAUGCGAGGAAGGUGGGGAUGACGUCAAAUCAGCACGGCCCUUACGUCUGGGGCUACACACGUGUUACAAUGGGGGGUACAGAAGGUCGCUACCUGGCAACAGGAUGCUAAUCCCAAAAGCCUCUCUCAGUUCGGAUUGGAGUCUGCAACCCGACUCCAUGAAGCUGGAUUCGCUAGUAAUCGCGCAUCAGCCACGGCGCGGUGAAUACGUUCCCGGGCCUUGUACACACCGCCCGUCAAGCCAUGGGAGCCGGGGGUACCUGAAGUACGUAACCGCAAGGAGC